UGCCAAUGCUAAGUACUAGUGCCGCAGGAGGUUCCUUGUUCAACCCCUCCUGCUGUUCGAGUGCUUAAUAUCACAU
ncrna:Capitella teleta microRNA cte-mir-252a precursor